GAGAGGCCCGGUCGGGGAGCGGGGACCCGCGGUCCGCACAGGCGGCCCGGCCUGGCCCGGCCCGGUCUGGUCUGGUCUGGUCUGGGGGCAUGGGGCCCCUCGGCGCUUUCCCCCUGGCUCCCCCCCGCCUCAUUCCCCGCAGGGAUGCGGCGCCGGACCGGGCCCGGUCGCUGUGUGCCGCCCCCACUCCCCGCUCCCCGCCGGUUUCUGUGUAGGCCUCGGCUGGUACGCGCAGGCCGGCUGUCGUGGUGCUGGCGAGAGAAAGGCAGAGCCCGGCUGGAGGUCCAGCGCUUUGGGAACCUCCUCGCUGAUGUCAGAUACAGAAAAUCCUGUGGAAAAUGAACAACUGACUGGAUACAGAGCGACUUAGCGGUCAAAGUGAGGAGGGGAUACCUCCUCAAACGACCACCGAAGACCAUGCAAGACCCCCAUGCAUGCAGAGAAGGCAUCUGAUGUGUUGUGGUUAUGUGAUCCUAUGCAUAUGCAUCAGAUAGUUUGAAUAUGUGUUAGGUAGGAGUAGUUUUAAUAAAUCAGAUAAAAUCGUUAUUGUAUAAAAGAGACACACCUGAUGAAUCUGGCAUGCUUGAUUUGUGGAAACCAAGCACCCUGUGCAGAAUAAAGCAAUCUCUCUCCUGA